AUUUGUUCCCUUCUCCACAUUGGAUGUCACGUUGUCUCUCGUCGCUUUCAUCUCGGUGACUCCAGGUAACCAUAAAACAACUGCCAGCAUUCUCCUCACACAUAUUGAUGAGAUGCUGCUGGUUGCUGGCCAAGUCUAUGUUAAGGUGCCAGGUGAUGAUGGGCAGAGACCACUAGUUUGAUGCUGCAGGUCAUAGUCAGAGGGAGGUUGUCGAUUGCCGCUAGUCACCGACCAUGUCGAUGUAGAGACAGGAUAUUCAUGGACGAGCGGAUAAGAUAAGUUUCCAAUAAUACUGAUAUUGAGUGUAAGGGCGUGUCUGAGCGAACGCAUUACCAGUGUUUGUCUCGAAUGAUCGUUGUUUGAUUUUUGAGUUGCUUGAUAGCCCACGUCGAGCACCGUUUCAAAAACAAGCUUCUGUAGAAUUCGCCUAAAUAUUGUACUGCACAAUACACCUCAUCGCAGCCAUUCUGAUGGUUUAAGUUUUGUCUGCGAGUCGGCUUAGUUACUGGGAAGAUUGACUCUAUUUACUGGGUUUAUAGCACG
rnacentral:sRNA from 2 species